rnacentral:rRNA from 1 species
GGAAUCAACGCUGGCGGCGUGCCUAACACAUGCAAGUCGAACGAGAAAGUGGAGCAAUCCAUGAGUAAAGUGGCGCACGGGUGAGUAACACGUGAAUCAUCUACCUCCGAGUGGGGAAUAACCUAGAGAAAUCUGGGCUAAUACCGCAUAACACUUACGAGUCAAAGCAGCAAUGCGCUUGGAGAGGAGUUCGCGGCCGAUUAGUUAGUUGGCGGGGUAAUGGCCCACCAAGACGAUGAUCGGUA